UGAUUGGCGCCGUGGUGGGCGUGGUCAGUUUGAUUGGCUGUAUCUCAGCUGGUAAAGAGUUCGACUGUGCUGAUCUACCUGGGCUUCCUCAUGGUGUGGUCCUGGGUCAGCUGUUCGUCACUCUGCUGUUGAGCCUAAAUAAGGGCAAGGUCGGAGAGAGAGUGAACGCCAUGUGGAGACCAUGAUCGUUGAGUACACAGGACGCAGAGGCAGUCUGGACACCAUGAUCGACAACAUACAGCACUAUGUGAG